rnacentral:lncRNA from 1 species
GAUAAAGCAUCUUAUCACAUAGAACUCACAAUAUCUUAAUUAGGAGGCUAAGUACUGUGUUACUAUUAUCAAUAGCCGAUUGCUACCUUCCAGCAACACGACUGAUGUCAAUAGGCCACAAACGGCAGCUAUCAACAGCCAUAUGACCCACCAGGAUUUUGAUGCAGCCCGGCUCCUCCAUGAUGAGAUAUUAAUUCACUC